UACGAAGGGGUCUAGCGUUGCUCGGAAUUACUGGGCGUAAAGCGCACGUAGGCGGCUUUCUAAGUCGGGGGUGAAAUCCUGGAGCUCAACUCCAGAACUGCCUUUGAUACUGAAGAUCUUGAGUUCGGGAGAGGUGAGUGGAACUGCGAGUGUAGAGGUGAAAUUCGUAGAUAUUCGCAAGAACACCAGUGGCGAAGGCGGCUCACUGGCCCGAUACUGACGCUGAGGCACGAAAGCGUGGGGAGCAAACAGG
rnacentral:rRNA from 1 species